GCGGGCGUAACUCAGUGGCUAGAGUGCUACCUUGCCAAGGUAGACGUCGUGGGUUCGAAUCCCAUCGCCCGCU
rnacentral:tRNA from 2 species